rnacentral:rRNA from 1 species
AGAGCGAACGCUGGCGGCAGGCCUAACACAUGCAAGUCGAACGGAUCCUUCGGGAUUAGUGGCGGACGGGUGAGUAACACGUGGGAACGUGCCUUUUGGUUCGGAACAACUCAGGGAAACUUGAGCUAAUACCGGAUGUGCCCUUCGGGGGAAAGAUUUAUCGCCAUUAGAGCGGCCCGCGUCUGAUUAGCUAGUUGGUGAGGUAAAGGCCCACCAAAGGCAACGAUCAGUAGCUGGUCUGAGAGGAUGAUCAGCCACAUUGGGACUGAGACACGGCCCAAACUCCUACGGGAGGCAGCAGUGGGGAAUCUUGCGCAAUGGGCGAAAAGCCUGACGCAGCCAUGCCGCGUGAAUGAUGAAGGUCUUAGGAUUGUAAAAUUCUUUCACCGGGGACGAUAAUGACGGUACCCGGAGAAGAAGCCCCGGCUAACUUCGUGCCAGCAGCCGC